rnacentral:lncRNA from 1 species
CCUCACAGUCCUGGAACUCUACAAGGUUAAGCAUGUUUGCCCAAGAAAUACGGAUAAUGCUCUUAGCACGUAUGACCUUUACGAUAUGUGGAACACUGUCCGUGACAAAAAUGCCAUUUUUUAAAUGGUUUUCACGCCGGGGUAUCCAGCCAUUAAUCAUGCUGCAUAUGAGUGACUGUAGGGGCUGCCUAGAAAAUCCUAGAGCCCCACGUUAGAUUCCUGGCGGGCCAAGGGCUGUGUGUGAACCUUGACUUCAUUAGGAUCUGCACCGCCGAUGGCUUCCUGGGCUGGGUGGCCCCCGGGGGCUCCUGCAAAAGAGCCUGGCUUCUCAGCACCUUCACAGGAGUGGCCACGGGCUCCUUAUUUUAAGGUGUCUUUGUGUCCUUGGAGCUGAUAAAUAACUCAUUUUGGAUGCCUCUGCUGAGCCUGCAUAUUUAGUGCCCACGAACUGCAUCUCAGAUGCUGGAGGCUAUGCCGCCCCUCUCCCUCCCUCUCCCGGCUGCAGAGCUGGGCAUUGCUCAGUAGGGGAAUGGCUGAUGCUGGGCGCCGGCCUGAUUGGAGGGAAGUGAUAGAAUUCAGGAUUUUUACUUCCAAAAAGGCAUUUUCCAGGGUCAGCCAGUUAAUACCUGCACAGCCCCAGUCAGAGAGCCCCCAGACGCCUGUGGGUCCCAAGCACGAGAAAAUGAGUCUGGUCUGUGUCGAGAGGCACUGGGUGUGCAGAACACACACAGGAUUUCAAAAGCUUGAUAUAAAAAGCACAAACUACCUCAUUCAUAAUUUUCACACUGAUUAGAUGUUGAAAUGAUAAUGUUUUGGAGAUACUGGGUUAGAUCAUAUGUAUUAUUAAACUUAACUUUACCUUUUCUUUUUGACUUAUUUCUUGUGGCCACUAGAAAGUUUAAAAUUGCCGACGUGGCUUGCAUCUUACCUCUGUCAGAAGCUCAGGCCACACACCCAUGCAGAGACCC